AUUGAACGCUGGCGGCAGGCCUAACACAUGCAAGUCGAGCGGAUGAAGGGAGCUUGCUCCUGGAUUCAGCGGCGGACGGGUGAGUAAUGCCUAGGAAUCUGCCUGGUAGUGGGGGAUAACGUCCGGAAACGGGCGCUAAUACCGCAUACGUCCUGAGGGAGAAAGUGGGGGAUCUUCGGACCUCACGCUAUCAGAUGAGCCUAGGUCGGAUUAGCCAGUUGGUGGGGUAAAGGCCUACCAAGGCGACGAUCCGUAACUGGUCUGAGAGGAUGAUCAGUCACACUGGAACUGAGACACGGUCCAGACUCCUACGGGAGGCAGCAGUGGGGAAUAUUGGACAAUGGGCGAAAGCCUGAUCCAGCCAUGCCGCGUGUGUGAAGAAGGUCUUCGGUUUGUAAAGCACUUUAAGUUGGGAGGAAGGGCAGUAAGUUAAUACCUUGCUGUUUUGACGUUACCAACAGAAUAAGCACCGGCUAACUUCGUG
rnacentral:rRNA from 1 species